UACGAAGGGUGCAAGCGUUAAUCGGAAUUACUGGGCGUAAAGCGCGCGUAGGUGGUUUGUUAAGUUGGAUGUGAAAGCCCCGGGCUCAACCUGGGAACUGCAUCCAAAACUGCUGAGCUAGAGUACGGUAGAGGGUGGUGGAAUUUCCUGUGUAGCGGUGAAAUGCGUAGAUAUAGGAAGGAACACCAGUGGCGAAGGCGACCACCUGGACUGAUACUGACACUGAGGUGCGAAAGCGUGGGGAGCAAACAGG
rnacentral:rRNA from 1 species